UACGGAGGGGGCUAGCGUUGUUCGGAAUUACUGGGCGUAAAGCGCGCGUAGGCGGCUUUGUAAGUUAGAGGUGAAAGCCCGGAGCUCAACUCCGGAAUUGCCUUUAAGACUGCAUCGCUAGAAUCAUGGAGAGGUGAGUGGAAUUCCGAGUGUAGAGGUGAAAUUCGUAGAUAGUUCGGAAGAACGAUCGGUGGCGAAGGCGGCCUGCUGGGCUCUUGCUGACACUGAGGCGCGACAGCGUGGGAGCAAAGCAGG
rnacentral:rRNA from 1 species